AGCGAGCGACCCAGAAGCACAAGAAGAAGAAUAAGAUGGUAUAUAUUUUUUUUUUGUUAUUAAGUGGAAAAGUGAGAGUGCGAGCAGUAAAGCGAUAAUACGAAUGCAGUUCAUAAGCAAAAUGCAAUUAAAUCUAAAUUAAUGCAAAAUCAAACAGCAGCAGCCAAAGUCAAAACAGAAGCAGUAAAAGAAGCGAAGCACAAAGCAAAGCUGUUGAACGCAUUAAGCGCGCAUCCAUGGAUUUCAGCCGCUUGCCAUGCAAUACAAUUAUCAUAAGGUAAGGCCGACCAGCAUGAGCUCUAUCUGCCCACUCUCUCUGCCUCACUUGGCCACAGUCUGAGAAGAGUUUUGCGAGUCUUGAAAGGAAAUGUC